rnacentral:rRNA from 1 species
CACGCGGUAAACGAUGAUUACUGGUUGUUCGCGAUACACUGUGAGCGACUGAGCGAAAGCGUUAAGUAAUCCACCUGGGGAGUACGUUCGCAAGAAUGAAACUCAAAGGAAUUGACGGGGGCCCGCACAAGCGGAGGAACAUGUGGUUUAAUUCGAUGAUACGCGAGGAACCUUACCCGGGCUUGAAAUGCAUUCGACUGGGUCGGAAACGGCCUUUCCCUUCGGGGCGGAUGCGUAGGUGC